rnacentral:lncRNA from 1 species
CCUGCCCCGGGCCCGGAGCCAGCUAUGGGCUUGGAGAGCGCUCUCUGUGAGCCUCUCUCCACUUGCAAAACGGACAUUGCAGCUCCUGGCAGAGAGACGCGUGGAAACCGAUGAACUAGUGUCCAUAGAAGCAGCUGCCAUGCAGAUCCCUGGAGCCUUUCCCAGACCCUUCCCGCUGGAACCUCCGCAGGCUAUGGAGGAGGCACUCGCUUGGCUGGUCUUCCAGGAUACCACCCCCACAGCUGCCACCUCCCUAAUGCAGGUCAGGACACGACCUGCCCCAAAGUCACACGUGCACUGACGUCGGCCACGAAGGGCACCGCUGAGACCAGGUCAUGAGUAACAGGCUCCGAGCAGUCCAAAGAGAACCAAGCAGUGGAGAGGUGCUCAGGGCUGCUCCGCACCCUCGGCUCCAGGGUCCUGCCACGCACACAUAGAGGCCCACCCGGCGGAUGGAAUAAGCUCACAUGCAACCCAGUGACAAGACAGAUAGACCCAGAGCACAGGAAAUAAAGGCAGGAGAAAGGUGGGAGCGGGAAGAGCUGCAGGGGGUAGGGGAGGUGACCCUCUGCACCCUGCAGGGAAGGAUCCAGCCCAUGAACACAGAGAGCUCCCAGGCUCAUGCCACAACCCAGGAGGCUGACCAUGACCUUGGACUGCAGACAGCAGGGAUGCUUCUCGCGCUCUGUGUGAGGAGACAGGGACUUGAAUACUCAGAUGUGGCCUGAUUUAGUGAAUAUGAUAAUAAAAUGGGUGGUGUGUGCAAUCAAGG